rnacentral:rRNA from 1 species
CGCGUUAUAAAACCAACUUCAUGUAUACAAACUAAUAUUACAUUACUAUUAAGUCCAAAUUCAUAAAAAUUUUACAUUAUUCAAUCCAAUUAGAAAUUAUAAAUUGUAGCUCAUUUUAACCUUUUUUAUUAGCUGCAUUUUGACUUGACUUACAAGCAACAAAACUUUUAAGUUUUUUAUAAUCUUACGAAAUAAACUGUCGACAGCAAUAUACAAACUGAUGUUUCAAAAAAAAGUAAGUGUUAAUUGAGGAUUAUCAAAUUAAUAAACAAGCUCCCCUAAAUGGGUAUAUAACACCGCCAAGCUUUUUAAGUUUAAAUAAAAUUAUUUAUAAUAAUAAUAUCACACUACUUAAAUAAAAAAAAUUUAAAUUAAUGAA